AACGAACGCUGGCGGCAUGCCUAAUACAUGCAAGUCGAACGAGACCUUCGGGUCUAGUGGCGCACGGGUGCGUAACGCGUGGGAAUCUGCCCUUGGGUUCGGAAUAACGUUUGGAAACGGACGCUAAUACCGGAUGAUAUCGAAAGAUCAAAGAUUUAUCGCCCAGGGAUGAGCCCGCGUAGGAUUAGCUAGUUGGUGAGGUAAAGGCUCACCAAGGCGACGAUCCUUAGCUGGUCUGAGAGGAUGAUCAGCCACACUGGGACUGAGACACGGCCCAGACUCCUACGGGAGGCAGCAGUAGGGAAUAUUGGACAAGGGGCGAAAGCCUGAUCCAGCAAUGCCGCGCGAGUGAUGAAGGACUUAGGGUUGUAAAGCUCUUUUACCCGGGAUGAUAAUGACAGUACCGGGAGAAUAAGCUCCGGCUAACUCCGUGCCAGCCGCCGCGGUAACAC
rnacentral:rRNA from 1 species